ensembl:lncRNA
AGAUGGGAUGGGUGGUGGGUGUGUGGACGGCAGAUACAGAAAGGGGAUGACAGGAAGACGAACAGCAAUCCAGGCAGCAAAACCUUGUAGUUGUCUUCAUGAGUCAGGACUACACAUAACUGGGCAAUCACACUCCGGGAUGCGUCCAGACCUGGAGACAUGUGGAACCCUCUGGUCAGGUUAUGGCUAUCCCUGCUCACCAAGUCUGGCAACUCAACAUCCAGCAGUGCCCUUGCACUAGUUAAGAAAAAGCAACUGAAUUUGCAAAAGGGAGCUGCAAUGUUGGCUGAAUGUAAGCAGCAGCAGAAUCAAUCCCAUCACUGCCAAGACACAGUUGCUGAUGCAGGAUUCUGAACUUCAGAGGAAACAAAGUAAUUCUCCCGUGGAGACAUUGAACCUGAGAUCAAAGAAGCUUUGAGGAGAGAAAGAGGCUGAGAGCAGAACUGCACCAGGCCAUUCAGAAAGGGUAUCUUGAAGAGAACUCCUGGAGUUUGGUUGUAAAGCAAGGUGUGGAACCAGAGAUAACCUGAGAACUUGCUGGUGUUGCAGUCUUCUGAGAGCUGCAGGAAAUAUCCGGGUACCCAGAGGUGGUGGUGAACCUACAGCACAUCAAACUCAUGCACCCUGAUUGUAAUUGAUAGCUAUAAGCAUGGAAGAUUUGUCAUUCUUUAUAAAUAUGUUGUUUCAUUCAUUCUUCCAUCCAAUUUCCAUUCAUUCAUUCUGUGCUGGUUUAAAGGAAGGUGGUCUUUAGAGCCUCAUAUUUGAAUGGUUGGUUCCUAGUUGGUUAAACUCUUUUUGAAAGAUAAGGAGGUGUUCUCAUUUUGGAAGGAAGUGAUUCUAGGUGUUUCUCCCUCCCCCUCCCCCUGCUCCUCCCCCUCUUCAUCUCCCUGUGUCCCUCUCCCUGUCUCUCUCUCUGACUUGUUAAUCUGUCUGUCUGUCUCACUCUCACUCCUUCCCUUCUGGUGGUGCUGCCAUCUGGUGGUGAAACACGAUGUGAGCAAUCUCAGCCAUUCCUUCCUCUGCUGUCAAGGUCUCUAACUCUGUGAAACCAUAAUCUAUACUAACCCCUUCUUUCACAAGUUGCUUUGAUCUGGAUUAUGUUGUUUUGUCAGAGCCAAGGAAAAGUGACAGAUACACUCACCAUUUUCUGUUUGGGCAGAUGUGAAGCUGCGUGUCCUUGAUUUCAUGCACCUCUGUGUUCUCUUUUUAGCUCUGCCCCCUCCCACCUCUCAAACAUCCCUGAGAUCAUUCGCCAACUUUUCCCCACACAUUUUCCUGAGGGACUCACAUGUGACAAAAAGAAAACACGAUUUCAUGUAUCCAGCAAGCCUUAGACACACAAAUGAGAGACAAUGGAUAUCUGUCAUCUGGAGACUUGGUCAUCCAUUGGGUGUGGCUGUCUCCAGGCUCAAGCAUCUUUAAGCAGACAGUACAACUUCAUCCUUCUUGUGAAGAACAAUAAUUGCUACACAUCUGAUCCCCACUCCCUCUUCAUUCAGUCUUUCACCAGAGGAAAGAUAUAUCAUUGGUUAUAUCACUUAGCAUUUAGAAACAGAGCUGCACGUAGGGUCACUGGUUAAGUAUCUCUGGGGAGUGUUGAUUCUCUGGUCCCCAAGAAUAUUGGGCAUGCAAAUGGUAUUCAGCCAUUCAUGGGGAUUUAACACCUAGAGAGAUAAAGUAAACCUCCAACCAACAAAAGCACCAAACCAAACCAGGUAAAUGCAUUAGCAAGCAGAUGCACCAUUUCUUGAGUUAUAUCUUUAAAAACUGUAAAUGUGCAUAGAGACCCGCCACAGUGUCAAGUCAGGCACACAGUGAAAACUGUGAAGGCUCGUAGAACGUGGCUGCAGUCUUAUGAGGGAGUCCCAGAGACAUCCUGUAGUGCUACUGUAGGAGAAGCUGAGGUAUCAAACCAGACCAGUGACUCAUUGCAAUGAAUAUUCUCAGGUGAAGCUGUGUGCAUGAAGGGGUUUACUAUGUGACACACUGUGACAUACCACAGCUGUCAUAUAGGGACGUUUUAUUCAUGUAUUCCUUUUUAUUUUGCAGGAUUUCAAGGGGAGAGGGAGGAUAUGGAGGGAUGGGAAGGUGAGUGUCCUGUAAAUGUAAAAUUCACAAAGAAUCAAGACAAAGUUUAAAAACAUAAGGAGGUUAUACUCAUUAAUAUCAGUAAAUAAAAUUUUCAUGGAAUAGAUAUUAGACAACAAAUUGGCCAUGAAUUUGAAGGAGAGCUGGGAUAGGUACCUUGGGUGUAGAAAGAGAAAAUAGAAAAAAACACAUUCUUACUAAACAAUCUAAAAAAUGUACAAAACCUGAUAUGUGUUAUUGUAGCCAGAUAUUGGCUGCACUGCCCCUGUACACCAUUGUAACCACACAGCAUUAAAACUCCAUACAGAAACCUAAUGCAGAGAUUUGCAAAUGGUGGAGUUCACACAAAACUGGUCACAUAUUGGGAAACUCCAUGUGAAAGAAAGGCUUUUCACUGAGAAAGGAAAAGUUGUUAUAGUAGAAAGGAAGAGAGCUGAGACUGAGAUGAGUCUCACAAGGAGGGCAUUUAUCAGAUGCCUUGACUGCCAGAUCCUACAAAUGGGGUUCAUGAUUGGGUUCAAAGUACAGCAAAAGGCCUCUAAUGUUUAUAAUUGAAAAUAAGAAUUCCCAGAGCCCAGAGUGCUGGUGCACAUUUUAUACCCAGCACCUUACAGUCAGGCAGAUUUCUGGGUUCAAUGUUUGUCUGUCCUAUAUAGUAAAUUUCUGGACAGCAUGGACUACAUAGUGACAACCUGUUUGAAUAGGGAAGGACUCUUUACGUGUUGUGUACAGAGUUUCACUGACAAGAAUUUCAGAUGGUCAGGGUCUUUGAUAAUCUGAGCUCUUGCAAGGGUGUGGGGUGAUGUCUGUGUGCUGAGAGGAGAAGAUAAUUAGCAACUCCCAGAACAAGGAAAUAAAGCCCUAAUGCUAACAGACUUUAGGGAAAAAGUCCCUGAGCUGACCAGGUCAGUAAUGGAAUUGGACACAAUGUAAAGCAGCACCUGAGACAGCCAAUCAUGUUGUCCCACUCUAGGAGUGAAAGAGCUUAGAGAAGUUGGAUGUGAGGUAGGAUGUGAGGUCUGGCUAAUCCCUUGUACAAUAGCAGCCCCUGGGGUUUGAGAGUUCAGAAGCGUUUGAAUUAAAAGGGGAAUGGGAAUCCAAGCUCUAUGGUGGCUCAGAUGAGACCUACAAACCUGUCACACCCAUCUCCAGUGGAGUCUGCGUGACAGGAAGCUCUUGUGCUUCAUUUCUAUGCAGAACAGAGGCCUGUGCCUGGAAUGGCUUGGCCUCCUGGAGGUCCUGGCCAUCUCCCUACAGAAAGAUGAUGACCAGGGUCCAUGCUUGCGGUAGAGGUAGUACCUUCUGUGUUCUAGCCUUGGUGAUCUUAGCAACUUUAAGCCUGUCAACAAUAUCUAAAUCUAAGAAUAUAGCAGUGUGGGAAGAUGGUCAUGGACCUUCAGAUGUUUCAAGACUGAAAGUUCAGACGGAAACGUCUCACACCAUCCUGAUCCUGAUGAACUCAACGGCUGCGAUGAAUUCAACCGCUGCACCCAUUCGUUCCCAGCAAAUAGGAGAGAAAUUAAUUGCGGUUAUUAAGAACAUGACUGUUCCAGAAAAGUCUUUCCCCCCUUUUGGGAAAGUUUUGUUUAGCAUGAUUCAGAAUAGUAGUGACUCUUUUAGAGAGAUCAUGGAUAAGUUCCAACAAGUUGAUCAAACUUAUCAAGAGUUAAGUAGAAGGAAAAAGAGAAAUUAAUAUUGAGCAAGAAAUAAGAGAAGUUAUAGAAUGGUUACAAAAGUUUCCAUAUUAUCUUGAGGGGUCACAAACACAGAGUUUAAACUUUAUUAAAAUAAUGGUAAAUGUUGAAUGCAUAUAUGGUGCCCACAGGUCUGGCAGUAUAACUGCAGUUUUCUAAACUGUUGUCUGGGGUUGAGAAUUGUUUCCUAGACUGUAUGUUCAGCUUUCCUCUUUGCAAGGGACAUUUGGUGGGGUGAUGAAUAAGAGCUGGAUGAUUGCCAAUUAUGAUGUACCUGUUCUAACUGCUUAAAUCUGUGCCAAGAAGUAAAGCUUUUUGCAGCAGCACA